CCUCUCCGUUUCCAGGGAGGACAGCAGUGCCGGAGCGUCAACAUGCAACUGACUUUCCAACAGUGCAGGACACGGCUUAGAGAGAAAGCAAGAGUGAUCACAUCUGGUGAAUCUACGUGAAGAGUAUACGUGUCUGUUGUACUAGUUCAGCUCUCCGGUAGGCUAUAAAUUUUUAAAAGAAGUUGGGGCUGCCUGGCAGUUGUUGGGAGGAUCCAGAAGAAAGUGGAUGGAAAAGGGUUUGGAAACUGAGAAGACGCCGGGUACACGCGUGCGGGGUCCCCCAGGCCUGCUCCCAGCUGAGGUUCCCAGGGUGUCACAGACAUGGCAGGAGAACAGACAGUUGCAUGGCGGCACUCACGCGGAAGCCCAGCUCCCCAGCAUAGCUGCUGUGGUCAGCUUCACCUUCCUGGAAGGGACAGAAAAAUGGGGAUGAGCUUCUCAGUGGGGCCCCCAGCUCUUCCCUUGGGCUCCCUCACUGCUCCUGCUGUGCCCGCACCCCAACACAGCUGGUACACACUGGGCCCCGGGAGCAGGGCUGGGAGGGAAGCAGAACGUGGCUGCCUCGGUACCAGUGGAGGCCAAACACCGCCAGGAGGCCAAGACACUGGGAUGCGCUCCAAAGACCAAUACCGGCGGUGGGGAGCUAUGCAGAGCUCGGGAGGGACGCGGAGGAGCGACUUACGGCUGCCUCCUCAUGCUGGGCUUGUCUCUCCGGCUCCUUGUAGCCCAGUGGAGCAUCGAAGUCCACCUGUGUCCCCAAGAAGAAAGCACGAUGAGACAAGGCCACACGCAGCCUCCGUGGCUUUUCUGUUCUAAGUUGGGACAACUGUGGGUCCAUGUGCAGUUGUUGGAGCCGAUACAGAAGGGGCCUUGUACAGUAUGCCCAUUUCCCCAAUGGUCACGUUUUACAAAAUCACAGCAGAACAUCGGCAAAGACAACCCAGCCCUCGUCCAGACGUCCCCAGUUUACACGCACACGCGGGCAACCUCACUGCCCUGGACCCCGGCAACCACUCCUAUGAACAGACCCAGACAGAACGGAACCCUUCUGCUGGGCAUCCUUCCCUGAAGACCCAGCACGCUGGGCUGUUGUGCCCACUACUCGGAGCUGAGCAACCUUCCUCAGCCUCCAAGAAGACUCAGCCCCUCGCAGGGCUGAGAUGCUGAUGGAUCUAGCCAUCUCAGAACCAGCAGCAACCCUGCCACCAAUCACAAGCCUCUGGAGCUCCUCUGCUGCGUGGGGAGGCAACGUUUGCUAUUGACAGGCCUGCCAUGUGCUGUUCUUCUCUAAGUGCUGGAUCUCCUCUGCUCAUCUCUCCAUGUCUGGUGCUCGGCACCUGUAACUACCCGGCCUGGUGGACACUAAACUCCCUGUAAGCGUGAGCUGUAGGCCAAUUCUGGAACAACUCCACUCAUCUCUUCACAGUAGUUCCGCCCUCCGUUCUCUCCCACUGGGGUUUUCACUGGGCACGUUUGGUUUUCUCAGGAUCUCCCAAACCUCAGCUGCUCACGUUGCUGCCAUGCUUCUCUGUGCAGACACCUAAGUCACUCCUGCAGAUUCAACUUCCCCUUCGCUAAUCCUUUGUUGGCUGUUGUUUAACCCUCUGACUGCUUUUCAAAUAA